AGCGGCGGAUGGGUGAGUAACACGUGGGGAACCUGCCCCUAAGUCUGGGAUACCAUUUGGAAACAGGUGCUAAUACCGGAUAAUAAAGCAGAUCGCAUGAUCAGCUUUUGAAAGGCGGCGUAAGCUGUCGCUAAGGGAUGGCCCCGCGGUGCAUUAGCUAGUUGGUAAGGUAACGGCUUACCAAGGCGACGAUGCAUAGCCGAGUUGAGAGACUGAUCGGCCACAUUGGGACUGAGACACGGCCCAAACUCCUACGGGAGGCAGCAGUAGGGAAUCUUCCACAAUGGACGCAAGUCUGAUGGAGCAACGCCGCGUGAGUGAAGAAGGUUUUCGGAUCGUAAAGCUCUGUUGUUGGUGAAGAAGGAUAGAGGUAGUAACUGGCCUUUAUUUGACGGUAAUCAACCAGAAAGUCACGGCUAACUACGUGCCAGCAGCCGCGGUAAUACGUAGGUGGCAAGCGUUGUCCGGAUUUAUUGGGCGUAAAGCGAGCGCAGGCGGAAAAAUAAGUCUAAUGUGAAAGCCCUCGGCUUAACCGAGGAACUGCAUCGGAAACUGUCUUUCUUGAGUGCAGAAGAGGAGAGUGGAACUCCAUGUGUAGCGGUGGAAUGCGUAGAUAUAUGGAAGAACACCAGUGGCGAAGGCGGCUCUCUGGUCUGCAACUGACGCUGAGGCUCGAAAGCAUGGGUAGCGAACAGGAUUAGAUACCCUGGUAGUCCAUGCCGUAAACGAUGAGUGCUAAGUGU
rnacentral:rRNA from 1 species